GGGGGUAUAGCUCUGUGGUAGAGCAUUCGACAGCAGAUUGCGAGUUCCUCAGUUCAAACCCGAGUGUCCUCU